GACUUGUAACUCUUUAGCAGUGUUCUCCUGUAUUUCUUUAAGUGAGUUAUUAAAGUCCUUCUUGAUGUCCUCUACCAUCAUCAUGAGAUAUGCUUUUAAAUCCGGGUCUAGCUUUUUGGUUGGGUUGGGGUGCCCAGGACUAGGUGGGGUUGGAGUGCUGCAUUCUGAUGAUGGUCAACAGAAAAAGAAACGCCACUUCCAAAGUGUCUUCUUGUUUCUGCUUCUCUACUUGCCUAUAUGUUUUCAGCUUCCAUGAAAUGCCCAUGUGUGGACAUAUGUAAAUGGUGGGUUCCUCUGUCACAGAAGUGACCUAUGUUACUAAUGACCUUCUCACAAAUCAAGAAAAUUGAAUUGAAAUCAAUUAAGAGGUGGUUCUGCAUCCAUUCCUAGAGGCCUCACCAGGACUGACAUAACCAGGUGGGACCCAGCCACAGGCCCUUUGCCAACCAGUUCGCCCAGCAGGCUUGAUUUAUUCUGAAGACUUCUGAGGCAAAAAGAAAAAAAGAAAGAAAUAUAAAAGACAAUCCACUCAUUCCUCGAUGUGUAGAAGCUGUUGACAUAUGUUGUCUUGCAUCCACAGAACUUCAAUCCCAGCUGUAUCUCCCAUAAUGUUUCUUUGUUUUUUGUUUUUCUUUCCACUCAGACAAUUCAGGAAACUCUCCCCAUUAUAAAAAUAAGCCAAAAUCCUUAAC
rnacentral:lncRNA from 1 species